rnacentral:rRNA from 1 species
UUAAUUCCGAUAACGAACGAGACUCUAGCCUAUUAAAUAGUUCACGGAUUCCAAUUUGUCCGUGUUAACUUCUUAGAGGGACAAGGGGCGUUUAGCCCCACGAGAUUGAGCAAUAACAGGUCUGUGAUGCCCUUAGAUGUUCGGGGCCGCACGCGCGCUACACUGAAGGAAUCAGCAUGUGUUCUCCCUGGCCCGAAAGGGCUGGGUAACCCUCUGAACCUCCUUCGUGCUAGGGAUUGGGGCUUGUAACUAUUCCCCAUGAACGAGGAAUUCCCAGUAAGCGCGAGUCACAAGCUCGCGUUGAUUACGU